rnacentral:rRNA from 1 species
GAGUAACACGUAUCCAACCUGCCGUCUACUCUUGGACAGCCUUCUGAAAGGAAGAUUAAUACAAGAUGGCAUCAUGAGUCCGCAUGUUCACAUGAUUAAAGGUAUUCCGGUAGACGAUGGGGAUGCGUUCCAUUAGAUAGUAGGCGGGGUAACGGCCCACCUAGUCUUCGAUGGAUAGGGGUUCUGAGAGGAAGGUCCCCACAUUGGAACUGAGACACGGUCCAA